rfam:Holdemania filiformis DSM 12042 genomic scaffold Scfld11, whole genome shotgun sequence.
AUGACAAACGUAAAAGUUCACCGUAUAUUCCUGGGGAUUGGGCGCAGGAGUUUCUACAUGGCGGCCGUAACCGUCAUUCUACGAUGGAAGCCUUUCUUCAU